AUGCCGGAAAAUGGUUUCCACAGACGUGAACGAAUCCCGCACACCGCGUGUACCCACAACACCACCGCCGCGGCGGACUGCUCCGGAAAGCUGUCCUUUUCCUCAGCCGGAGCUGUUAACCCCAACACCACACGACAAGAAACUGCCAUGGCAGAGUUGUGUGAUGCAGCGGCCACAGCGCGAGACGAAAUCAUCUGCCAGCCAGUUCCCGGGCCGUCUUCUACACACACCGGUCUCUGUCAAAUAAAAACAGGGCGAUGUGUCCUCACCCACCUCGGUUCCUGGGUCUGGCACUGUGCAACUUCCGGUCCUUCCGCAAAGACAAAAUGACCACGAAGGAGAACUAUCUUGGAUCAGUUCCCAACACCGAGGCAGCCGUGACAGCGCAAGGAGAGGCGCUCAAGCAAGACGACUGGCAGAAAGGGCCGAGAACAAUGGGGUACGAGUGUCCGAAGUGAGGGACAGUAUUCCGAGGGGGUUCAUGACAGUGUGUCUUUUACUGUAACACAGUUUUUAAACAAUCAAACAGGCACAGUCUUGCCUGAUGGCCACUGCCUGGUACGGAGACAUUAAGCACCUAAGCACAUCAAAGAGCCAACAGCGCACCGGCCCCUCUGCUGCCUAAGUCCCUGGCCUUUCCCACCACAGGUUGUUGCAGUUUACCGAGCACCCAGGGGGUCUGGAGCAGCGUUAGACAGUUAUGGUCGGAACAGAGACAGCGGCGGCGACAGCGGGACAGGUCCCGCGUUCAAGUCCUUCCCGGGGGCGGCUCCUCGGCGGAUGUGGAGGAUGUGAACCCGGGCUCCCGAAGGCGAUCCCAAUCCAGUGUGUGCCUCCAGCUCUUUGUGGCUCUUUCCCGUGUUUCUUAGAGUGCGCCCAGGACAAGCGGAAAGGAAGCCACUGCCGUUAAGACCAAGGAGCAAACCCUUCCCGGGCUUUGAAUGCCUCGCCGCUCCCCGACUCUCCGGCUCCCGACCAUUUCUGAGUCCGCGUGGCCUGCGGGGUCAGCGGCCGGUUCAGCGCUCGGAGGCUGCGGGGUGAAAGUCACCCCUCCUCACACCUGCGCUCCCUUCCGGCCUCCACAUCUGUCUCGAGAGGUCGGAGCACGCUGCUUCCUAAGAGCAGCUGUGAGCCUCUCUUCCAGGACCACCCUCCAGGCGAGCGGUGCCUGACUUGAGUGCGUCCUGUCUAGAGCGGCGAGCGACGGGUAUGGGGACGGCUGCGACCGCCCUCGGGAAGCUGCGUCCUGCUCCCACAUACCUGAGGCAGGAGCUCGCAGGCAGGUACCGAGUGCCUGAGCAUAACCCCUGGCUUCAUCCUCUACUAGCC
rnacentral:lncRNA from 1 species